UUUUGUGUUCAGCUGCGUCAGGUCCGGGUACUUAAAUAGUCUCCAGCAGCGUGAAGAAGCAGCGACUUUUCUCAGCCACAGGAUCCACUUCACAACUCCGAGGGUACUCUCGCCACUGAAAAACCCACUAAAGACACAACAUGAGUGAAUCUAAAACAUAUUGCCUGAUGAAUGAGGGAAAGUACGUGAAAGUCGAGCAGGAUGGAAGUGAACCGAAGCUGUACGUUGUUGAGUCUCAAAAUGCAGAAACUGUGAUCAUACUACAACGUAGAUGUAAAACUGCCCCUGGGAAGCAGACUGCAGACUGCUCUAAUGGAAAUGUCGAGAUGGCCUUCCAAUUCCCCGAUUCUGAAAAGCACUUCUCUCCAAAGGUGGAGAAAAACACCUUGAAGUUGUUGGAGUGGUCUGAUAGCCAGGCAAUGCCUGACAGUCAUUGGUUUAAGAGGAUAAACAACGGAAGUGGAGACCUUUACCUUCUGGAAUCUGUGGUUUCACCCCAGCGAUACAUCUGCAUCAAGCCAAACAGAUCUUUGGAGCUUGGUCAGUCCCCAAAUGAGUCUGAUCGAGUGUCUCACAGCCGUGUCAAUUAGAGCAGGCAUCCAUCACCAACUGAGCUUGAAGAUUUCCCUGCUGGGAUCGAUGGCCUCCUCCUUAUUCUUUGGACCAUCUUUACUUUGCCCUUCUAGUAGGGCAAAGUGCAUUCUCAUUAAGCUGAAAUCAAGCGGAAUUGAACACAGAUGCUACACUAUAAUUGCUAAGUGAACUAUGUAGUGCUGAAUUAUGGAGUUACACAUUUAAACUGUGUUCAGGACUUUUUAGGUGUGGGGGAAAAAGUCAUAGCUUCAUACUGCCCUAAUGUAAUGUAGCCUAGCAUCAUUUUCAUGUAACAUUAACUAAUGCUAGAGCAUGUAAAACUGAGUAGCUGUUUAUAUGCAUCAGUAUGGCUUACACUGGGAUUUUAUGUUUAUCCCAGAUGUCUCCAAUGAAAGUUUGUAAAGUUACAUGCUGUAAGAAGCAAACAUCAAUGUGAAUUUUCAGCUAUUUAUCAGUGUGGUUCUUCACAAAAUCAGUCCACCUUUUAUUCAUCUCUUCAUUCAUAAGAAACUUGAAGUGAGCUGUAAUGGGAAUUUAGUUUUGUAACCACAGAAAAAGCUUUAAUGGAAUGAAGGCCUAGCCAGCUAGCUAGCAAGUUGUAAUGAUGGUAGAUAAAGUGUCACCCUGCGAUUUCCUCCCCCCCCCCCCCCCCCCCCCCCAGCCCCAUUAAUGGAUAGUUUUAAACAGAAUUUUAAUGAAAAGAAACUGAGCUACAGCCACACAGUUCUCUCUCAAAUUUGAGAGAUGCCAAACAUUUCCUUCAGAUUUGAAACCUAAUUUCAUUUCUUUGUUUUUAGUCAUUCCUAAUUGGCUGUAUGGUUGAUGUGACAAACAUGGAAACCAUGUAUUUGUGCUUUACACAGACUUUAACUUUGCAGAUCAGAAAGAGAGGACAAAGCUGCUGCAGCAAAGGCACAGAUCAUUUGCGAAUAUUUUCUAUUUGCAUUUUUUUUAAACCCAUGAUCUCACCACCCCAGUUUCUAGUGCAGUAUAUCUGAAUUUUGAUGUCUGACUGCCUAAACUGUUCUAACUCGGUUGACUUAUUUUCUCAUUAGACUUUCCACAGAGUGCUACUUUACAUGACCAGUAAACUAAUAUUCUAUCACCAAUUCCUUUUUAAUGUGAAAGUUUUCUCAAAUGCUUUUGAUGUGAGGAUAUUUAAGUGGGAAAGGGAGAGGUUUAUAUUUUUUUACUUUUGUGACGUGUUCGUUUGAUUACUGUAUGACGGAAGCAGAUAGAGGAUGUUUGGGAACCUUUAACACAACUGUAUUCAUGAUCCAGGCUUUGUGGUGAAUAAAAUUGGCUAAACAGUUAAAGUAGUAUCAUACAUCACCACCACCUAGUAAAAGUGGUAAUAAAUCAUCCAAACUCAAGAGUCUUAACAUUUAACAUAACAGAUUCUUUGAGUUUUCUUCCAUUUCAAAGGUUGCUCCUUGCCUCGUCAUGUUUUUUUUUUUUUUUUUUGCUGGUUCUGGGAAUAUAUAUAUAUACUAACUAUAAACAAAAACACAUUUCAAUA